CCUACGGGUGGCAGCAGUGGGGGAUAUUGCACAAUGGGGGGAACCCUGAUGCAGCGACGCCGCGUGUGGGAAGACGGUCCUCUGGAUUGUAAACCACUGUCCCCAGGGACGAAAAUGACGGUACCUGGGGAGGAAGCUCCGGCUAACUACGUGCCAGCAGCCGCGGUAAUACGGAGGGAGCGAGCGUUGUCCGGAAUUACUGGGGGAAAAGGGAGCGUAGGCGGGGAUGCAAGUUGGGUGUCAAAACUACGGGCUAAACUGGUAGUCGCACUCAAAACUGCAGCUCUUGAGUGAAGUAGAGGCAGGCGGAAUUCCUAGUGUAGCGGUGAAAUGCGUAGAUAUUAGGAGGAACACCAGUGGCGAAGGCGGCCUGCUGGGCUUUUACUGACGCCGAGGCUCGAAAGUGUGGGGAGCAAACAGGAUUAGAUACCCUGGUAGUC
rnacentral:rRNA from 1 species